rnacentral:ncRNA from 1 species
AAAAAGGCCCUUUUCAGGGCUACCAAACAAUAAUAUAUUAUUAACUU